UUGAUCUAGUUCCUGUGUGAUGUNNNNNNNNNNNNNNNNNNNNGGCAAAAUUUACCAAUUUUUCUUUCAUGUGCAAAAUACUGCAGUGCAUCUUCCCUUUGAGGAGACAGUGACUGCCUAACCUCAAAUCAAUAGAUUUAACCUGAAUCUGAAGGCUAAAUCCCAUUCCUUAGAAAUUUCAGCAAUAUUGAAGUGUUGCUGUGCUUUUUUGCAGUUCAUCACUGUGACUUGAUAACUUCUGCAACCUCCUUCCCUUUCUCCAGCACCAGAAGAGUUUAGGCAACCAGCAUGGGUGUGACAGUAUCAUUCUGCAUUCACUUCAUGUAGCUGCAAUCACUCUGCACAAGCAGUGGCAUCCCCUUUUAACUGAAGGCUUCAGGCAAGAGUUCCAGUGUGUGCUCCCAUACCUGGCCUCGAACGACUGCUCCAGGACAGCCUGUGUCUCACAUCUGCCAGCCCCAUCAGCAAGUCUCAGACGACAGCAGGCAUUCAUGCUUGGACAACUUAACUGAGCCCUAGCUGUUUAUAUUGGGAUGAGCUGAGGUCAUGAUUAUUCUCAUUGGAAGUUCUGCCACUGCCUUCCUUCCCUGUGCUGAGGUCUCUGCUCAAAAGAGGAGAACAUCUAGGCAAAUAUCCUAGCCACCUGGACCUAUUCCAUUAUGAGGUACUCUAAGUUUCUUUGAUAAGCUUUAAAGUUUUGGG
rnacentral:lncRNA from 14 species